rnacentral:rRNA from 1 species
GAAAUUCGUAGAUAUAGAAAGAAUACCAAUUGCGAAGGCAGCUUCUGGAUCAUUACUGACACUGAGGAACGAAAGCAUGGGUAGCGAAGAGGAUUAGAUACCCUCGUAGUCCAUGCCGUAAACGAUGUGUGUUAGACGUUGGAAAUUUAUUUUCUGUGUCGCAGCGAAAGCGAUAAACACACCGCCUGGGGAGUACGACCGCAAGGUUAAAACUCAAAUGAAUUGACGGGGACCCGCACAAGUAGUGGAGCAUGUGGUUUAAUUCGAAGAUACGCGCAGAACCUUACCAACACUUGACAUGUUCGUCGCGACUCUAAGAGAUUAGAGUUUUCGGUUCGGCCGGACGAAACACAGGUGCUGCAUGGCUGUCGUCAGCUCGUGUCGUGAGAUGUUGGGUUAAGUCCCGCAACGAGCGCAACCCUCACUUUUAGUUGCCAUCAUUAAGUUGGGCACUCUGAAAGAACUGCCAGUGAUAAGCUGGAGGAAGGUGGGGAUGACGUCAAGUCCUCAUGGCCCUUACGUGUUGGGCUACACACGUGCUACAAUGGUAUCUACAACAGGAAGCAAGACUGCGAGGUCAAGCAAACCCUUAAAAGAUACCUCAGUUCGGAUUGCACUCUGCAACUCGAGUGCAUGAAGCUGGAAUUACUAGUAAUCGUGGAUCAGCGUGCCACGGUGAAUGCGUUCCCGGGUCUUGUACACACCGCCCGUCACACCAUGGGAGUUGGUUCUACCUUAAGGCAAGGUUUUAAACCCUUGACCACGGUAUAGUCAGCGACUGGGGUGAAGUCGUAACAAGGUAGCCGUAGGGGAACCUGCGGCUG